rnacentral:rRNA from 1 species
UACGUAGGUGGCAAGCGUUAUCCGGAUUUACUGGGUGUAAAGGGCGCGUAGGCGGGGAUGCAAGUCAGAUGUGAAAUCUAUGGGCUUAACUCAUAAACUGCAUUUGAAACUGUAUCUCUUGAGUGCUGGAGAGGUAGACGGAAUUCCUUGUGUAGCGGUGAAAUGCGUAGAUAUAAGGAAGAACACCAGUGGCGAAGGCGGUCUACUGGACAGUAACUGACGCUGAGGCGCGAGAGCGUGGGGAG